UGAACGCUGGCGGCGUGCCUAAUACAUGCAAGUCGAGCGAACAGACGAGGAGCUUGCUCCUCUGACGUUAGCGGCGGACGGGUGAGUAACACGUGGAUAACCUACCUAUAAGACUGGGAUAACUUCGGGAAACCGGAGCUAAUACCGGAUAAUAUAUUGAACCGCAUGGUUCAAUAGUGAAAGACGGUUUUGCUGUCACUUUUAGAUGGAUCCGCGCCGCAUUAGCUAGUUGGUAAGGUAACGGCUUACCAAGGCAACGAUGCGUAGCCGACCUGAGAGGGUGAUCGGCCACACUGGAACUGAGACACGGUCCAGACUCCUACGGGAGGCAGCAGUAGGGAAUCUUCCGCAAUGGGCGAAAGCCUGACGGAGCAACGCCGCGUGAGUGAUGAAGUUCUUCGGAUCGUAAAACUCUGUUAUUAGGGAAGAACAAAUGUGUAAGUAACUAUGCACGUCUUGACGGUACCUAAUCAGAAAGCCACGGCUAACUACGUG
rnacentral:rRNA from 1 species